rfam:Trichobilharzia regenti genome assembly, scaffold: TRE_scaffold0012454
GUACUGAUGAAGGGUCCAAAAAUAGGACGAAACAGUUAUUUGUCCAGUAC